GCGGGUGUCGUAUAGUGGCUAAUAUAUCUGACUUCCAAUCAGAUGACGCGAGUUCGAUUCUCGCCACCCGCA
rnacentral:tRNA from 1 species